UUUUUUUUUUUUACAGGACUGUGCAUGGGCAAGAAAACUUGACAGACUGUUGGUAUGGAUGUCAAUGUAUCACAUUGUGAUUUUUGAAAAAACUAAUGAAGUAGAAGUGGUGCCUUCCAAUUGGGUCAAAGAAAAUUAAUGUAUGUGGCCACCAAAUAAAGUGGAUGUUGUAAAAGCCACAAAAAAUAAGGAGCAACCUGGGGAAGGAUGGACUCCACACAGGGUCAGAAUUAUAUUUACAUCGAACAGUUACGGUGAGGCAAGAUUAAAACUACCUGAAGCUGUCGAACACACAGACCUUGCAACAGAUAGGGAGGAUUCCCCAAUUAAACCCAAACGAAGAAGAAUGCCAAAGAACCUACUUUUUCCUGGAGAAGAUGAGGAUGAAGAAAUCAGUGUUGAUCAGUCAAAAUAUAAUGCAAAGAAAAGAAAAGAAGAACUGCCUAGAGCUCCGAAGAUCUUUCACUCAUUUUCUUCUGACUCCCAAAGGAUGCAGAAGACUGGAUCUACUCAGAAGUCUGUGUUUGCCAAAUCUAAGCCAACAAAAUUUUUACCAAAUAUCCCUCCUAAUUCCCAAAGUCAUCAUACUUCUAAUGUACCUAAGAGGACCCACACACAUUCUGACCAGUCUCGAAGAAACCAUGCAACUGCUGAUCCACUUGAGAGGAGCCGCAUUAACCCUGACUCGCUUCAGAGAAGCCGC